rnacentral:lncRNA from 1 species
GCUGCUGUGGCUUAGGUCGCCUCCCCAGCCGGGCGGGCACCUGUCCUCCGGUCCGGAAGGUGGCCGGCUGUCCCCGGCCCACACAGGGUGCUGCCUCAGCGCCUCUGUGCUUCUGCCUGUUCCAGAAGCUGUCAGGUUCUCUGGCGCACCCUCUCACCUGUUCAGACUAAUUUCCUAAGUUCGGCGGGUCUGGGACCAAGAUGGCGACCGCUGCUGCUGUGGCUUAGGUCGCCUCCCCAGCCGGGCGGGCACCUGUCCUCCGGUCCGGAAGGUGGCCGGCUGUCCCCGGCCCACACAGGGUGCUGCCUCAGCCCCUCUGUGCUUCUGCCUGUUCCAGAGGCUGUCAGGUUCUCUGGCGCACCCUCUCACCUGUUCAGACUAAUUUCCUAAGUUCGGCGGGUCCCGGACCAAGAUGGCGACCGCUGCUCGUGAUGUCAUUUUCAUGUCAUUUUCCUCCCCUUAGAGACGACUCUGCCCUUGAAUGUCCGAUGUUCUUCUGACCAGUAACAAUGGCAGGAAUAAUGACACGCAGUUUGGCCAUCAGUAACUGAGCACUUCAGGACCCAGCAGAAAGUCACCCUGUGUCGGAAGAACAGAGGUUACUUGGAGUAGUAGCCAUCCUUCCCUGAUGGUUACCUUCCUACCUGCUGUGCUCUAGUCA